CCUACGGGCGGCAGCAGUGAGGAAUAUUGGUCAAUGGGCGCGAGCCUGAACCAGCCAAGUCGCGUGAGGGAAGACGGCCCUACGGGUUGUAAACCUCUUUUGCCGGGGAGCAACGGGCGCCACGUGUGGCGCCACUGAGAUUACCCGCAGACAAAGCAUCGGCUAACUCCGUGCCAGCAGCCGCGGUAAUACGGAGGCUGCGAGCGUUAUCCGGAUUGAUUGGGUUUAAAGGGUGCGUAGGCGGAGCGUUAAGUCAGUGGUAAAAUUGAGGGUCUCAACCCCUUCCCGCCAGUGAACCUGGCGCUCUUGAGUGGAAGAGAAGUAUGCGGAAUGCGUGGUGUAGCGGUGAAAUGCAUAGAUAUCACGCAGAACCCCGAUUGCGAAGGCAGCAUGCCGGCUUCCGACUGACGCUGAAGCACGAAAGCGUGGGGAUCGAACAGGAUUAGAUACCCCGGUAGUC
rnacentral:rRNA from 1 species